AGUGAACGCUGGCGGUAGGCCUAACACAUGCAAGUCGAACGGAGUGGCGGACGGGUGAGGAAUACAUCGGAAUCUACUCUGUCGUGGGGGAUAACGUCCGGAAACGGGCGCUAAUACCGCAUACUAUCAGAUGAGCCUAGGUCGGAUUAGCUAGUUGGUGGGGUAAAGGCCUACCAAGGCGACGAUCCGUAACUGGUCUGAGAGGAUGAUCAGUCACACUGGAACUGAGACACGGUCCAGACUCCUACGGGAGGCAGCAGUGGGGAAUAUUGGACAAUGGGCGAAAGCCUGAUCCAGCCAUGCCGCGUGUGUGAAGAAGGUCUUCGGGUUGUAAACCGCUUUCAGCCAUGACGCGGUAGUGGCAGAAGAAGCACCGGCUAACUACGUGCCAGCAGCCGCGGUAAUAC
rnacentral:rRNA from 1 species